CAAUAGGAUUACAUUCAAAGACUAUAAAAGUUUUGGUUAUUUACUUUUUACUCUGUCGUGGGAUUUGGACCAACUAUUUCAAAUUUUGAAUUAUUAUUAUUCUUGAAAUGGAAAACCCGAGAAAACCAUUUACAACAUUGGGCCAAAACUAUUUGUAGAUUGUAGAAAAACUACACAGGAGAAAUGUUGGAAUCGGACGACCAUCUAGAUGAUUGAGGAAACGAAACGCUUCUUGAAUUCUUUUCUGGCACACGACUCGGUUGCGCCCAUUUUGAUGUGGAACAGGAGGAGCAUGUUGCGUCUUUGUCAACGUAUUAUCUUCUACGAUGACGCGAUCGUUUUUGUGGUUUAGGAGUUUGGUUAUCUCGUCAUUCAAGUCUGUUGACAUGCGUUGGAAAGACAGGCAAUUCUCAUCCGUUUGCGUUUCAGCUAAACUAACAGCUGGAAGAGUUUGGACAAACUGCGUCCUUAAAAUCUUCUCAUCAACGUC